CUACGAGGAUGAUCUGGACUUGGAAUUCUCUCUUUCUGAUGGCUCAGUGGAGAAAGCUAGUGCGUCCUGAGUAGG
ensembl:snoRNA SNORD26 Small nucleolar RNA SNORD26